UUUAUUCAACGUUAUGUCCAAUUUAAUUUUCUAUAUUCUUGCAGCAGUUUAAAGUAAGAUUUACCAAACACAUACAACUACUUUUAAAACUCUCAGAACUUUUAAACAAAUUUUACUAAAUAUUUAAUUGAUUCUCUUGACAGUUGAUUAUUUCUAUAGCAUAGCUAACAACAAUUAUUUUAAAAGAUACAAUAUUACCAAACAAGCCCAAAGUCCUAGUAUCAACUCGAUUUAAACGCAAUAACCCAUGAAGGACUACCUAAUAUUUCAGUUUUAUGACAAUAAGCAUGUUCUAAUGAACCGAUUAUUUACGUUACUAUGUAAUAUAUAUGCUCCUUUUUUUUUCAUAUUAUAAUAAUAUGGAAACAACAAAGUUAAUGAACCAAUUAUUUAUGAACCAAUUCGUUUAAUGAACCAAUUAUUUAUGUUAAUAUGUAAUAUAUAUGCUGUGCAAUUCGUUUUAUUUUUUCAUGUUAUAAUAACAUGGAAACAACAAACUUUACUAACGCAGCUGACAAUACGUGAGAACUAUGAAACUGAGUGGGCAAAGAAUAAAAUUUACCUAGAUAAAGUUCAUUUACUCAAUAUUCAAUGCUUGGGGUCCAGGACCUCCAUAAUUCCAAUCCUCUGUACAUAUAUUGCUCAUGGAUAUAUCAAUUAUCAGCAUAUAAUUUGAAUUAUUCUUUUGAAUUGGAGUUAAGAAUUAUUCCUGUUAAUUACAUGGUACAUAUUCAUAUUCAUUUGGGUUUUGCUCCAAAAUGGGACAAGCUCAGUUGAUACACAUCCCAAGUCUUAUAAAAUCUGAGGUAAAUAAUAUUUGUUUUUUUACUUGUCAUUCAAUAUGUUAAAACACAUGUACUUUCUCUUUUUCUUGUUUGUCUAUUGAAGUCUUAUAAAACUAAAUUAACUAUUUUAUCCUAUGGCUUUAUAUUUCAAUUCUUAUAACUUUUGUUACCAUAUGGCUUUAGUUUAAAUAUUUGUCGAGAUCUUGCGCAUAGCUGCCAUUGCUGAAUCUCGAAAGGAGAAGAUGAUGAAGGCAGAAAACUAAGGAAAGUGGAUUAGGAGAAAAUAAUAAUAAUAAUAAUAAUAAUAAUAAUAAUAAUAAUAGUGAAUGAAAGAGAAGACUUGGAUUUGUUUAUGAAAAUUUGCUAUUUUACUUUUCUAAUUUAAGACAUUGUUUUUCUAAAACGAUUUUCUCUUGUCUCAAGAAUUUCAAAAAAUUUAAGAAAAAAAUGAGAUUAGAAGAAGAUCCGAAUUCAAAUUGAUUAAAAAAAAAAACCAUCUCCGUACAUAGGCUAAAUCACAGUAUUUAAACUACAGUGUGGUGUUGAAUUAUAUUUAUAAAGUAGCGGAUUUUCUAUUUCCCCCGCUAUAGUAGCAUAGCUAGACUUAAUAUCUAUUGGAGGUAAAUCUAGUUUACUUAGACGAAUUUGAUUUUCCUCAAAUAUUUUUAUUUAAUUUUAGAUUUAACAUACACAUUUAAAAUAAUUUUGGCGAAGAAAAUAUAAGAGCUUAUUUUUUUCAUUUUAUUUAAAGUCGAUUUAAAAAAUUUGUUAUUAGGGAAAAUAAAAUUUUGUGAUUAAAGAUUUUCUAGAAAAAAAAAGACUAGCAGGUCAAUAUGUGCGCCUCCUCUACUGCCCCCUGGCUACGCAUCCUACCCAGCCGUGGACUUUCCAAUUCAUCCGGGGAUCUAGCCUCAAAUUCUGUCUAGCUAGACUCCCAAGUGAUGAGUAAAGAUAAAAGUUGAAAAAAUAAAAGAAAAAUUAUCAUUGUACCACAUUUUUUUGUCAUAUAUUCAUCCAACCAUUACAAAAUUCUAACAUGUUCUCUACACCACUUUUCUUUUUAAAUUUAUAUCAAUUAACCAUUUUUGCACUAACAUUGUUAAAUAAUUUUUAAAAAAUGAUAAUUUUACCCCUAAAUAUAUCAAAAGAGCAUUUUAUUUUAUAAAAACUUUGAAAAUAAAAAAUUA
rnacentral:lncRNA from 1 species